GUAAGGAAUCGAGGAACACUGUGUAACUCAGUGGCUGUGCCGCAACGGUUAUAGUCCGGAACUCUCCCUUAC
rnacentral:ncRNA from 2 species